CAACCCUCAAGCUCUGCUUGGUGUUGGGGUCCUACUUUGUAGGCCCUAAAAACUAGUGGCAGGCUCACUAUAACUCCGAGCGUAGUAGUAAUAUAUCGCUAGGGAAGUGUAGUGGGUUCUAGCCGUAAAACCCCCCAUUUUAAAAGG
rnacentral:misc_RNA from 1 species